GCUUACCCGUUGAAGGGAAUUGGAAGGUUUCGGUUUCCCCAUCCGCCUUGUGCCCUCGGGGGUGCGGGGCGGACRUGAGGCGGACUCCGUGUUCCAGGCGUGCCUUGCGAGUUCUCGCACGGKCGGUCKUGGMCCACGGGGUCUUUGCCCGUUCUCUCGGAUGCGGAAUGUCRUGCGUGGGCGUGGGGUCUCGGCCUCGCUCCGUCCAAGCUGAAGCAUUCGUCCCUCGACGCGAACGACUGCCGUGACCGUCUUGACCGCCCAAGGAGUCCUCCGACGCGGGGUCCCUGGAGGGCGGCUCAUGCGGGCUCGGCGUCGCUAAGGAAUGCUACCUGGUUGAUCCUGCCAGU
rnacentral:misc_RNA from 1 species